UACGGAGGGGGCUAGCGUUGUUCGGAAUUACUGGGCGUAAAGCGCACGUAGGCGGCUUUGUAAGUUAGAGGUGAAAGCCCGGGGCUCAACUCCGGAAUUGCCUUUAAGACUGCAUCGCUAGAAUUGUGGAGAGGUAAGUGGAAUUCCGAGUGUAGAGGUGAAAUUCGUAGAUAUCGGGAGGAACACCGGUGGCGAAGGCGGCCUUCUGGUCGGAUACUGACGCUAAAACGCGAAAGCGUGGGGAGCAAACAGG
rnacentral:rRNA from 1 species